CGUGCUUUGGCUCCUAAACGACGAAAUCUCGAACUUCUUUGCCUGUAACGAGUAGAAUAGCACUGGCUCCAGGUAAUUCAAUCUGAAAUCUGGCGAUUUUCGGGUAACGAGUUCGCAGAACUACAAAUGGUUUAUCAGAAAGAAUUGUGGAUCUUUUCUAGGUAUGUAAAUGCAGCUCAUUGCCAGUAACGAGUUGAAUAGAACGUGCUUUCGCUCCUAAACGACGAAAUCUCGAACUUCUUUGCCUGUAACGAGUAGAAUAGCACUGGCUCCCGGUAAUUCAAUCUGAAAUCUGGCGAUUUUCGGGUAACGAGUUCGCAGAACUACAAAUGGUUUAUCAGAAAGAAUUGUGGAUCUUUUCUAGGUAUGUGUUAACGAAGAAAUGCAGCUCAUUGCCAGUAACGAGUUGAAUAGAACGUGCUUUGGCUCCUAAACGACGAAAUCUCGAACUUCUUUGC